GGGGAUGUGCCUCAGCAGUAGGGCACUUGCCUAGCAUGCAAGAGGCCCUGAGUUCAAUUCUCAGUACCA
rnacentral:tRNA from 1 species